rnacentral:rRNA from 1 species
GAUGAACGCUGGCGGCGUGCCUCAAACAUGCAAGUCGAGCGGGGCGUAUGGUAAUAUCGCAAGGUAGAACAAUAGCCUAGCGGGCGAACGGGUGGAGCAAACACGUGGGGUAACCUGCCUGGAAGACAGGGAUAACGAUUCGAAAGGGUCGCUAAUACCUGAUAAUAUCCUUUCAUCGCAUGGUGAUAGGAAGAAAGGGGAAACCCGCUUUCAGAUGGGCCCGCGUCCCAUCAGCUAGUUGGUAAGGUAAAGGCUUACCAAGGCGACGACGGGUAGCCGGUCUGAGAGGAUGUACGGCCACACUGGGACUGAGAUACGGCCCAGACUCCUACGGGAGGCAGCAGUUGGGAAUCUUAGGCAAUGGACGAAAGUCUGACCUAGCGACGCCGCGUGAGGGAAGAAGGCCUUCGGGUUGUAAACCUCUGUCAUGGGGGAAGAAGUAAGUGACGGUACCCCAAGAGGAAGCCCCUGCUAACUACGUG